CGGGUGAGUAACACGUGAGCAACCUGCCCCUGACUCUGGGAUAAGCGCUGGAAACGGCGUCUAAAACUGGAUACCAACAAGAAUCUCAUGGUUACUUGUUGGAAAGAUUUUUCGGUUGGGGAUGGGCUCGCGGCCUAUCACCUUGUUGGUGAGGUAAUGGCUCACCAAGGCGUCAACGGGUAGCCGGCCUGAGAGGGUGACCGGCCACACUGGGACUGAGACACGGCCCAUACUCCUACGGGAGGCAGCAGUGGGGAAUAUUGCACAAUGGGCGCAAGCCUGAUGCAGCAACGCCGCGUGAGGGAUGACGGCCUUCGGGUUGUAAACCUCUUUUAGCAGGGAAGAAGCGAGAGUGACGGUACCUGCAGAAAAAGCACCGGCUAACUACGUGCCAGCAGCCGCGGUAAUACGUAGGGUGCAAGCGUUAUCCGGAAUUAUUGGGCGUAAAGAGCUCGUAGGCGGUUUGUCGCGUCUGCUGUGAAAUCUGGGGGCUCAACCCCCAGCCUGCAGUGGGUACGGGCAGACUAGAGUGCGGUAGGGGAGAUUGGAAUUCCUGGUGUAGCGGUGGAAUGCGCAGA
rnacentral:rRNA from 1 species